CAGACGGGAUCACUAACGACUCCACCAGAGGGCAGUCAUGACAUCACCACAUUUCGUCAUCAUGCAGGUGGUCGGGCAGCGCAACAUAAUCCCCCCUGAGAGGUGACCAGAAGUGUGACGGCGUCACGAGGACGCGGAAGGUUCUAGAAGCGGGUGUCGCUCACGUCAACAUCAGCUGCUGCACCACGCUGCUCAGCAUGUGGACCUACAGCAGGUGGUGAAGGUCAAGUGGACGAUUUGAAAAGUGUGAAAAGCCGAAGCGGGCACGAAAACGCUGAGCCUGCAAUGAGGCCGUCUUCUUGGUGACGCUCGCCGCCGCUAACAAGCCAGAGUGCUGACCUUUGCUGCAUCCCGUCCUUCCUCCCCCAGAGAGCGGCGCUCUCAGGUCUGACACAAUAUUCCUUUUUACGGCGCGCUGACUCAAUCUCCGCUGGGACCGCACGCUCCCAUUUUUGUUUACAGCUGCUUUCUCCUCUCCUCGUGCUGCUUGUCAUGUCCAGCAGGGCGGCGACAUUUCUAACUUUGUGUUCAAUCUUCUACUAUUUGUAACUUUUUGUCUGCAAUAAGCGCUAUUAUGCAUUUACACACUUUUUACAUUCACUUCAUGAAAUACUUUUUAUUUUAAAUAGGUUUUUUAGGCAUAUUCUACAUUUUUGGGGUCCUAAAUUAAAAAGCAUUUUAAAGAAGAAAAUGGAAAAAUACACAAACAUGUUACUAAACUUUCUACAUAUACAGUCGUCCCUCACCACAUUACGCAGAUUCACCUCAUUGCAAAUAAAAAAAAAAAACUUUUAAAAAUGUUUUUAUUUUAAGCAUAUUCGCCAUUUUUUUCAUCCUAAAUUAAGUCUUUUCAAGCAAAAAAAUGGCAAAAAAAAGUAACAAAUUACUAAACUUUCUACAUAAAUA